CCUGACUGCUAUCGGAUUGAUACUAAGCCAUGCGAGUCUUUGUAGUAAUACAAGGCAUACGGCUCAGUAACGCGUAGUCAACCUACCCUAUGGACAAGAAUAAUCUCGGGAAACUGAGCAUAAUUCUUGAUGGAUCAUAAUGCCUGGAAUGGCUUAUGGUUAAAAUGAUUCGUCGCCAUAGGAUGGGACUGCGGCCUAUCAGCUUGUUGGUGAGGUAAUGGCCCACCAAGGCGAUUACAGGUACGGGCUCUGAGAGGAGAAGCCCGGAGAUGGGUACUGAGACAAGGACCCAGGCCCUAUGGGGCGCAGCAGGCGAGAAAACUUUGCAAUGUGCGAAAGCACGACAAGGUUAGUCCGAGUGAUUUCUGCUAAAGAGAUCUUUUGCUAGUUAUAAAACCACUAGUGAAUAAGGGGUGGGCAAGUUCUGGUGUCAGCCGCCGCGGUAAAACCAGCACCUCAAGUGGUCAGGAUGAUUAUUGGGCCUAAAGCAUCCGUAGCCGGCUCUGUAAGUUUUCGGUUAAAUCUAUGCGCUCAACGUAUGGGCUGCCGAAAAUACUGUAGAGAUAGGGAGUGGGAGAGGUAGACGGUACUCGGUAGGAAGGGGUAAAAUCCUUUGAUCUAUCGAUGACCACCUGUGGCGAAGGCGGUCUACCAGAACACGUUCGACGGUGAGGGAUGAAAGCUGGGGGAGCAAACCGGAUUAGAUACCCGGGUAGUCCCAGCUGUAAACGAUGCAGACUCGAUGAUGCAUUGGCAUAUAGCCAGUGCAGUGUCGCAGGGAAGCCGUUAAGUCUGCCGCCUGGGAAGUACGUACGCAAGUAUGAAACUUAAAGGAAUUGGCGGGGGAGCACCACAAGGGGUGAAGCCUGC
rnacentral:rRNA from 1 species